UGAGGAAUCUUCCGCAAUGGGGGCAACCCUGACGGAGCAAUGCCGCGUGCAGGAUGAAGCGUUUCGGCGUGUAAACUGCUUUUAAACGGGAUGAUUAUGACAGUACCGUUAGAAUAAGGUCCGGCUAACUACGUGCCAGCAGCCGCGGUAAUACGUAGGGGCCAAGCGUUAUCCGGAAUUACUGGGCGUAAAGCGUCUGUAGGCGGUCAUUCAAGUUAUGUGCGAAAUCCUGCGGCUCAACCGUAUGGAC
rnacentral:rRNA from 1 species